GGUUCUAUGGUGUAAUGGUUAGCACUCUGGACUCUGAAUCCAGCAAUCUGAGUUCAAAUCUUGGUAGGACCU
rnacentral:tRNA from 1 species